GGAGAUUAUUCCAAAUUAUCCAAGUGGGUCCGGUGUAAUCACAAGGGUCUUUAGAAGUGGAGGACAGGAGCUGGACCCGUGGCUGAGUGGUUGGGUUCGUGCACUCGGCUUUGGCGGCCCAGGGUUUCACGGGUUCAAGUCCUGGGUGCAGACAUGGCAUCACUCAUCAAGCCAUGCUGAGGUGGCAUCCCACAUGCCACAACUAGAAUAAAGCUAAAAUACGCAACUAUGUACUGGGGGGCUUUGGGGAGAAAAAGGAAAAAUAAAAUCUUAAAAAAAAAAAAAAGAAAUGGAGAAUGGAAGCAGAAGAGGACAACCAGAGAGAUAUAAGCUUGGAAAGCUUUGAAGAUUGAGGAAGGAGACCAUGAGCAAAGGAAGUGGGCGACCUCUGGAAGCUGCAAAAGGCAAGGGAAUGGAUUCACCACUGGAGCCUCCAGAAGGAACCCAGCCCUGCCGACACCUUGAUUUUAGCCCAGUAAGACCAUUUCAGUCUUCUGAACUACAGACCGUAAGAUAAUAAAUGUGUGAUGUUUCACACAUUUCAGUCGUAAGUUUGUGAUCAUUUGUUACAGCAGCAAAUGGGAAAUGAACACAUGCUUUCUCUUUCUCUCUCUGGCCCUUUGGGACUGUCUGCACUUGGCUUUUUUGCCCCUUCCAAUUUGUCUCAUUUUCGGGAUUUCUCUGCCUCUCUUGGCCUUUUUGUCCCCUUUUGUCUUUUUUCCUUUGGGUUGCUUCGUUUUCUUGGCUCCACCUCCAUCCCAAGAUUUCUUAGACAUUGGGUUCUUUCUAGAUCUGGGUCUCUGUGUCUCUUCAGGAAACUUGUAUUGUCACCAACACAAGUGCCUUUCUGUGGCCCCCAAGAUCUUGUCAGUGGUUCACAUCUAUGGUUGCACGUUAGAAGCAUCAGGGGAACUUUUAAAUCCCUGAUGCCCAGGAGACACCUCAGAUCAAUUAAACGGAAUCUCUGGGGAUGGGUUCCAGGCAUCAGGAGUGUUGAAAGCUCUCCAGUGUUUAGCUAGGGGAGGAGGGGUGAACCCCUGUCUUACGUGACGAGGUGUGCAGGUGGGCCUGCCCCUCCCCGUUUACUCCUAUGCUCCAGCCACGGUGCUUUGUAUUUUCUGUUCCUUGAGCCAGCCAAGGCUGAUCUCAUGCCAGGCCUUCUUUGCACUUGCUGUUCUUUUUGCUUGGGCCCCUCUUCUUCCAGAGCGUUCUGUCUGGCUCAAGAAGCUCCUAGUCUACUUGUCAUUUGCCUUCUGUAGCCAGAUGAUGAGGAGUCCUGCUAACAAUGCUUCAGCUCUGCCUUUCCUCCAUGGUUACCAAAUGGUUCUAGGACACACAGUCCAGGGAAAAGGCAUUUGAGACAAAUACUGCCAGGAAAUAUCUCACUUCUCCAGACUUUCUCCCUCCCUCUCCAGAAUCCCCAACAACUCUGUACUUGAGGUUCUAAUGCCCCUUGGGUUCAUACUAUCUCCGAGAGCCGGAUGGGUGGAGGUGAUUUUUGGUGUGGCUCGGCUUGGCUUGCUCCGGUUGAUCGUGACUAGAUCCUGCCUCUCUGUUAGCACUGCAUCUUCUUAGCAUGGGUGCCUCCCACAUAACUGUUCCCACCCCUUCCAUCUCCUUCCAGGAUGCCUACUUGUGAUGUUGUGGAAUGUCGCAGCUUGACACUCAUGCAUGGCAUCAGGGAAUGCUACAGUCAUCCCAUUUCCUGGACAGAAUCAGAGCCUCAGCCAGUAAGAUGGAUGGAGCGUAGGAAGCUAGAAAUGGAAAGGUUUCCUGUCAUUCUGUGGUCCAUGGUUUCCCAGGAGACCUAGUAAACCAUUUAGCCUCUCUUCCCUGGACCCAGGAAGGGGGGAGGCUGAGAGGAAGGAGAAGAACUUGGACUGAAGCAGCUGAGGAGGCAUCAUGCUCUAGAAGAUGGGAAUCGACUAGUCCGAACCCCUCAUUUCAGAACUGAGAAAACAGGGUUUUGCCCAUUCUGAUUGAACUAGGUAGGAACUACAGAGAUGAAGGAACAUA
ensembl:lncRNA